AGAAAACAGGGUUAAUUCAAAAUCCAGCAGUAAUGUCUGCCUCUUAGAGAUUUUAGGUGGGAGUGGGUCAGCUAUGAAGUUUGUGGGACAAGGAGAGGCCAUAUUCAUUAACAUGGGAGCAUACUGGAUGUGCUUGUGUGGUGCUGCAUGAUGUGCUUACUGGACAUCGAGUGGCCUACACAGAGCCCUGACCUCAACUCCACUGAACACCUUUGGGAUAAACUGGAAUGCCGACUGCACCCCAGGCUUCCUCGCCCGACAUCAGUGGCUGAGCUCACUAAAGCUCUUGUGGCUGAAUGGGCGAACAGCCACAGAAUGGGAUGCUCAAAAAGCACAUAUGAGUCUAGCACGCGGUGGACUGCAGCCAUAUCCGAGUCAGGCAGAGUGCAUCAACCUCUUCACACCUGCCCCAAACUCAGCCUCUGCCAGAUAAUGAUCUGCUCCCACAGGAACUCACUACUACAGCCAGAAACAUUUCACUCCAACAUAAAACCUGCAAAAAAAAUGAACAAGUGAGUGAGUACUGAUUUAAGUACAGGGCUCUUCUCUCCAUACUGUCCAUACUCAUACUGAUUUAUGCACGCCAAAUUGAGGACUCAUCCAGAAACAAAACUAUCAAUCUAUAAGUUGCCCCAGGACUCAAAAUUUUACUCCCCUGCCUAAAAUUACCUUGGCUAAUGUUACCAUACCAGCGUCUUAGUUAUCCUGCCAAACAUCUGCUGCUCUCCUAUUUCACCUCUCUUACAGCUGAUUAGAGACAAUGCCUUUUUUUUUUUUUAAGCUCUCAGCUCACUACUUACUUUUGCCUAUAUGAUCAAGAAAAGAAUAAAGUGUGUGGUAACAUUUUGGGUGACUGAUGAGUAGCAGUGUGACAUUAGGGGACAUUCAGAAUGGCAGCAAUGCACGAUCCAGCUGGCUGACUGCCAUUGCCAACUGUUUGUGUAUGUUUGUAGUUUGCUGGAACAUGCCAAAAGCGACCUGCACUACAGUACCUGGAGUCUGACCAGCAGAGAGGUCCACUAAGCAUCUCAUUCCAAUCAACCAUUAAAAUAACAUUUACUGAAGGACUGUCAUGGCAGAUAUAUGAGUAGGGAUACUGGGUCUCAUUUGU